GUCUUAUUGAAAUUAAUUUUAAGUCAAACCUGCUCAAUGAAAAUUUUUAAAUAGCUGCAGUAUCCCUAACUGUACAAAGGUAGCAUAAUAAUUAGAUUUUUAAUUAAAAUCUUGAAUGAAUGGUUUAAUGAAAUAUAAACUGUCUCAAAUAAAAUAAUAAAAUUUAUUAUUUAAGUUAAAAAACUUAAAUAAAUUUAAAAGACGAGAAGACCCUAUAGAAUUUUAUAUUAAUUUAACUAAUAAAAAUUAUUAUAUAUUAAAUAUAAUUAAAUUAAUAUUUAAUUGGGGCAAUUUUUAAAUUUAAAAAACUUUAAAUUAUUAAUUACAUUGAUAAUUGAAUUUAUAUUCUUAUAUUAUAAUAUAAAAAAAUUAAUUACCUUAGGGAUAACAGCAUAAUUUUUUUUUUUAGAUCUAAUAAAUAAAAAAGAUUAUGACCUCGAUGUUGAAUUAAGAAAUAAUUAAAUAGAAAAAAAUUUAAAAUUUAAGUCUGUUCGACUUUUAAAAUCUUACAU
rnacentral:rRNA from 1 species